rnacentral:lncRNA from 1 species
CGGCGCGCCAGUCAUCCGAUAGACUGAGUCGCCCGGGUACCCGUGUUCCCAAUAAAGCCUUUUGCUGUUGCAUCCGAAUCGUGGCCUCGCUGAUCCUUGGGAGGGUCUCCUCAGAGUGAUUGACUACCCAGCUUGGGGGUCUUUCACAAGCAGUGCCUGGCUGCUGGGAGCUGUUGCUGUAGGGAAUGAAAGGUGAUGAAGUCUCGAUCACUAGACGGGAGAUGCUGCCAAGUGCCCCAGACGGGAUCAAGACUCCAAUGACAACCAUAAGAUUCCCUAAAGCUAAGACACUGCAGAUCUUGACUCUGCUGAUUUCUAUAGCGGAUGGGACCUGGGAUCCCCUGGGCCUUGUAUGGGGGUGUCAACAUCCAGCUCAACACAGUGAACUUCGGAGAACCCCCUUCUAUGUCUGCCCUGGAGAGGGGAGGUCUCCACAGCAGACGGCUACCUGUGGAGGACCAGAGUCAUACUUCUGUGCAUAUUGGGGUUGUGAGUCGACUGGGUCCAUCUCCUGGACGCCACCGAUAAAAGAUGACCUCAUCAAGGUCCAAAGGAGCCCUGGAUCGGAAUCCCAAGGAUGGGGCUUGCCCCUAGAAUUCUUCGUUACUCUGAUGAGAUGGGGACCAGACUAUCUCCAUUCCCAGCUGCUCGAGCGAAGCGGGCUACUGUUGCCGAGAUCCUGGGUGCAUCAGCCUUCGACUUCCAAGAUGAGAAUUAUAAAGUGUUAAGCUCUGCCAUAGAUGCAGAUUUAAUGGAACUAGGGAAAUCCUUAUCCAAGUCCAAAACCUCAUUAACUUCUCUAAGGGAGGCCACCCUUCGAAAUCAGCGGGAACAAGACUUCCAAUCUCUGCAACAGGAUGGACUGUGUAAACCUCUGGAGAAAAGGUGCUGCACCUUUGUGGAUAACUUAAAGCAUGCGAGGGAGUUAUUGGCUAAGGUGAGGAAACGUCUAGAAGACAGGAAAAGGGAAAUGGAACAGGGUCAGCCUGUUUGGAUUACAGUUAUUGCAACUCUGUCUGGAUUCUUGGGCCUGGUCAUACUCAUUGUGAUAUGCAAGCUCUAUGUUGUUAACCCCCUGAUGGAUUCAUCAAGGACCAGGUCUCCACCAUCCGACACGUAUUAAAAUGCUAACCCUUGGAUUCUGCUCAAGGGUUUGAGAUGGACUCUUAAGGUGAGAGAGAGUGAUCCUAACUUACUCCAUUUUAAGACAGGCUGCUAGGUCAGGCCUUAAGUUUAGUCUCAGAAAAGCCAUAAAGAAUGGGCAGCCAAGCCAGGCGUGGUGGCACACACUUUUAAUCCCAGCACUUGGGAGGCAGAGGCAGACGGAUUUCUGAGUUCGAGGCCAGCCUGGUCUACAGUGAGUUCCAGGACAGCCAAGGCUACACAGAGAAACCCUGUCUCGGAAAAAAAAAAGAAUGGGCUGCCAAUCCACAGCCACCCUGACAACGGGGGGUGGGGGUGGGGUAGCUAAAGCCAAUUUGAAGAAAGCCCCUAUGAAAGGGCGCUUUUUCCUUCAAGGUACAGACCAGUCCAAAAUGUACAGACACCCCUCACUAUGAACACAAACAAUCCUGGUGUAAAUUACCUAACUACAGUUGGAAAUCUAACUGGCUUUAAAAGGAAAAGAGAGCCUGCCGUCUCUUUGUGGUUGCCAUUUUAUAUAGAUGAUAUAUAUUGAGCUUUGGUCUGUUAUGCUUUGGAAUGCUUAGUGCAAGCCCUGGUUGCCCCAGAGACCCAAGUGAUGUUAUGUGACCUUGACCCUAAGUUACUUCUGGUUGGUGAAUAAAGAUGCCUGCAGUCGAUAGCUGGGCAGGAGAGACCAGGGUGGGGUUUAGGGUUCCUGAGCUUGGGGUUGUAAGAGAAGCACCAGGAGGGCGAGAAGGUGAAGGGAGGAGGAAGCGGGCGUGGAUUGGGUGAGUUGUGGAAUGAUGGCUAUGUGGGUUGGCUAAUUGGAGUUAAGAGCAGCCCAGAUGGAAACAUGAGGAAUUAGAUGAUGGCUUACUGGCUGGGGAGUAGGCAUACUAGUGUAGAGGAUAGAUAUCUGCCCAGCUCUUGUGCUGAUUAAGGCUUGUUAUAAAUAAAAA